GGCGCUGGCGGUCCGGAAGGCCCUCGGGCCCCCGGAUCCUCGGGUCUCCCGCUCGCGGGAGGCUGCCCGCCGGAGUGCCGAAACCAAACUCUUGAUAUUUUAUGUCUCUCUGAGUAAACUUUUAAAUAAGUCAAAACUUUCAACAACGGAUCUCUUGGUUCUGGCAUCGAUGAAGAACGCAGCGAAAUGCGAUAAGUAAUGUGAAUUGCAGAAUUCAGUGAAUCAUCGAAUCUUUGAACGCACAUUGCGCUCGCCAGUAUUCUGGCGAGCAUGCCUGUUCGAGCGUCAUUUCAACCAUCAAGCUCUGCUUGCGUUGGGGAUCCGCGGCUGCCCGCGGUCCCUCAAAAACAGUGGCGGGCUCGCUAGUCACACCGAGCGUAGUAACUCUACAUCGCUAUGGUCGUGCGGCGGGUUCUUGCCGUAAAACCCCCCAAUUUCUAAGGUUGACCUCGGAUCAGGUAGGAAUACCCGCUGAACUUAAGCAUAUCAAUAAGCGGAGGAAAAGAAACCAACAGGGAUUGCCCUAGUAACGGCGAGUGAAGCGGCAACAGCUCAAAUUUGAAAUCUGGCUUCGGCCCGAGUUGUAAUUUGUAGAGGAAGCUUUUGGUGAGGCACCUUCUGAGUCCCCUGGAACGGGGCGCCAUAGAGGGUGAGAGCCCCGUAUAGUCGGAUGCCGAUCCAAUGUAAAGCUCCUUCGACGAGUCGAGUAGUUUGGGAAUGCUGCUCAAAAUGGGAGGUAAAUUUCUUCUAAAGCUAAAUACCGGCCAGAGACCGAUAGCGCACAAGUAGAGUGAUCGAAAGAUGAAAAGCACUUUGAAAAGAGGGUUAAAUAGCACGUGAAAUUGUUGAAAGGGAAGCGUUUGUGACCAGACUUGCGCCGUUCCGAUCAUCCGGUGUUCUCACCGGUGCACUCGGGACGGCUCAGGCCAG
rnacentral:rRNA from 1 species